rnacentral:sRNA from 1 species
GCAUUUUGGGAACGAGUGGAAUUCUGGGAGCUAGGCCCGCCAUUCGCUUGACUCACGCCUUCGCCGUAGCAUCUUUCGCAGCGCAUCGAAGAGAAGGAAAAGUAGGCCAGAGCCGAACUCUCUUCCUGCCAAGAUGUCUAUUGGUGUGCCGAUUAAAGUACUGCAUGAGGCCGAGGGCCACAUUGUGACAUGUGAGACGAACACCGGUGAGGUAUAUCGGGGGAAGCUCAUUGAAGCAGAGGACAACAUGAACUGCCAGGUAUUCUGCUUUGCAUGUGAGGCUGUGUGGGAGGAAUGGCCCUGUGUCUUGAAGGACAGAAAAGUGUGGGUUGAGGGUCUCUGGAAAUUGUUCUCAUUCAUCAGUGAUUUCCUAAGUGCCUAAUGCAUACCAGUCAGGUGCUGUUAUAGGCUCUUUGGAUGUGGGCAUGAACGAGACACUUAGUCUUGAGACAGAAAAGCCAUUUGGAGGUUUGGAAUAUUUUACUUUGUCAUUUUUGUUUUUUCCAUCCCCAAAUUUGGGGGUCUGUUUGGGAGAAGUGCUACUU